UUAUUACAAUUAUUCUAGAAUAUGUUGUGCAAACAGUAGUAGGCAGGUAUACAUCUGUGCGUGAUUUCAGUUUUGCAUCUGGAAGCCUCUUGAAUUUGUAAUCAAGAUUGUCUAUGCAUUGGUCUUCUGUUUUAUGGAUUUAAUUGUCUAAGCCUUAAUGUUGUUUUUGAUGGAGCGAUAUAAAGGUCCUAUUCUCCUCUAAUUAUUCACUAAAAUCUUUUUGUUCUUCCUUGGCAGUCGAGGCAAAAAGCUCUUGCGGAUUUGCACCAAAUCCGAACUGUGAAUAUGGAGGAGCUUAGCGACGUACAGCGCAGACCGAGUCUCAGCUCAAGUUCAUAACUGAUGCCUGGCAGCAGGAGAGUGCUGAAAUGGACUUAUGCUUAUGGGUACUGUACUAUUAUCACCAGUACAGCUGCAGGCAUGUGGAAUCCUGAAUGUCUCUUAUUCAUGCAGCAUGUCUAAACUAUGAGAAAACAAGCUUUGAAGAAGUAAUAUGUGUGCUUCUUAAUUACUUCUCUAUAAGAAGGUCAUCAGAGGAAUACAAGAUGAAGAGUUGAUAUGCACCAUAGUGGCUAUGAAUCAAAAUGUCAUUGUUCUAAAGGAUUGUAAAUGCCCUU